GGUUCCUUAGCUCAAUUGGUUAGAGCUACCGGCUCAUAACCGGUGGGUUGUAGGUUCGAGUCCUACAGGAAUCA
rnacentral:tRNA from 1 species